rfam:Danio rerio chromosome 6, GRCz11 reference primary assembly.
AGCCAGAGCUAUAUCACCCUGCAGCCCAAGACCGGUUACUCACUGACACUGAAGCUAAGCAGGGCUGAGCCUGGUCAGUACCUGGAUGGGAGACCACAUGGGAAAACUAAGUUGCUGUUGGAA